GCCCUUCCGUUGUCGUUAUUGUCGUCGUAUUAUAUGUUCUCCGUCGAUGAUAAAUGAGGCGAAAACGUACGGGGGGGGAGAGGGGAGGGGAAAAAAAAGGUCGUGAAUAAAAGAAAACGGCGCCAUAUGGCGUUCUAUAAACGGGUUCCGUCGUCACAAUACAACAGUACUAUAUUACAACGGUACUAAUAGAGUAUUUUUCGUUCGCGUAAUAUUCUGUUUUUUUUUUUUUUUUUACUCCUAACCGUUACGCGUUUGUCACGAAAGUACAGUGAGAACAUCGCGACUCGGCUAUCGGCCGACUGACGGUAUUAUUCAAUUUAUCGGCGACGAAAUACCCGCUAUAAUUAUUUCGCCCUUGCGUUAAUCCGUAAAAUUACGUUCAAUUUAUACUUUUGCGGUACUGGUUCUCUGACGUUGUGGCGGAUUUGCGCAUUAUUAUUAAACCCCAAAGUUAAGAACAUUGUGCGUUUUUCCUUUUUUUUCGAUAUUUCAAUUUUCGAGCGAGUUACGAAUAUGCGGAACGUUUCAGUACGAAAAUCGUCAUAUCUCGCUUGUCUACAAUGUAUUCGUCAUGUCUCGGGAUCAUGCCGAGUCCCGGAUUUAAAUAAGGGCCUCAAACAUCCGGCCGGCGCGUAUUAACAGCGCAAACGUUCGCCGGUGUUUGUCGAUAUUUCCGUGUUAUUUAAUGCGAUCACGUGAUUCUUACGUAGUUUUAGGCAAAUCAGCAGUCGGAUAAUAUUAAAAACUGAACGUUUCUCACGGUCUUAUCGGACUGGUAAGGUGCUCGGGUCUGUGGAUUAUCGUUGUGCCCGGGAUCACGAUUUAUCACGGCUAUUAUCGGCCGGUGUAUAAGCGGAAUAAUAUUUGUGAUCGGACAAAGUACCCGUGGUCACGACGCCGCGGUUGUGGUGUCCUCAUCAGCACGGCGAGACCUUAUAAUACACGCAUUUCGCGAACACAAGCGAAUAAUUAUUUUUGUUUUUUUUUUUUUUUUCUAGUAAUUCGAUCUCGAUAUGCAUAUAUUUCAGCCGAAUUAUGAGGGAAACCCUGGCGUACUAUGACAUAUUAUUGAUAAUACCAUUUGUAUUAUAAUGUACUAGCUGACCCGGCAGUGCUUUGCUAUUACUAGAUAACCGUAUAAACAAUAGUAAUUAAUAGUAAUAUAUAUUGGACACUUAUCAGUGGCAAUCAAAUUGUCAUCUAUGUCACUAAGGCAAAACACGGGUAAACAAAAAUAGAUGAAUAAACAAUUAGAUGUUCGUACCGAAAACGCCCGAAAACGUAAUUAUCGCAAUUUCCGUAGGGAUCUAUAAUUUUUUUGAAAAUAAAACACGUGGGCUACGUU